AUUACCUAACUAUUGAACUACCUCUUCUAAACCUUUACUUAUUAGAGAGGGGGGACACCUAUUUAUUUAAAUUAUGUCUUCAACAUGUCCUAUAUGGAGACUGGAUUAAUUUUUUAAAUUAGGCCUGACAUAUGAACAAUUUUCAUAAAUGGGUGGCGGCAAAACUUUAUAUCUGUUCUCAUACCAUAUUGAAUUAGUUCGUCUAAAAUCUUAAGUAAAUAGGGAAGGAACAAAAACUAUAUCUUUAACACCAACGAUCUUCAAUUCUUAAGAAAUAUUGGAUAGGUAAAGGUAUAGAGAAUAAAUAAAUCAAGAGAGAAAAAUACUGGUGAUCUUAUUAUAUUUUGAUUAAUAUUAUCUGUAUCAAUGCAUGGUUGUACAUGGGAUUUUCGGUUGUUAGGACAAGCACGUUACAAAAAAAUUAGCUGGACUUGGUUGUUUGGG
rnacentral:lncRNA from 1 species